rnacentral:rRNA from 1 species
AGAGUUUGAUCCUGGCUCAGGAUGAACGCUGGCGGCGUGCCUAAUACAUGCAAGUCGAGCGAACAGAUAAGGAGCUUGCUCCUUUGACGUUAGCGGCGGACGGGUGAGUAACACGUGGGUAACCUACCUAUAAGACUGGAAUAACUCCGGGAAACCGGGGCUAAUGCCGGAUAAUAUUUAGAACCGCAUGGUUCUAAAGUGAAAGAUGGUUUUGCUAUCACUUAUAGAUGGACCCGCGCCGUAUUAGCUAGUUGGUGGGGUAAUGGCUUACCAAGGCAACGAUACGUAGCCGACCUGAGAGGGUGAUCGGCCACACUGGAACUGAGACACGGUCCAGACUCCUACGGGAGGCAGCAGUAGGGAAUCUUCCGCAAUGGGCGAAAGCCUGACGGAGCAACGCCGCGUGAGUGAUGAAGGUCUUCGGAUCGUAAAACUCUGUUAUUAGGGAAGAACAAAUGUGUAAGUAACCGUGCACGUCUUGACGGUACCUAAUCAGAAAGCCACGGCUAACUACGUG